rnacentral:rRNA from 1 species
GAUAUAACACGUGAGCAAUCUGCCCUCCACAUCGGGAUAACCCCCGGAAAACGGGAGCUAAUAGCCGGAUACGACCACUUCAGGCAUCUGAUGGUGGUGGAAAGUUCUGGCGAGUGGAGGAUGAGCUCGCUGGCCUAUCAGCUUGUUUGGUGAGGUAAUGGCCCACCAAGGCUUCGACGGGUAGCCGGCUUGAGAGGGUGACCGGCCACACUGGGGACUGAGACACGGCCCAGACUCCAUACGGGAGGCAGCAGAUGGGGAAUAUUGGACAAUGGGCGAAAGCCUGAUCCAGCAACGCCGCGUGAGGGAUGACGGCCUUCGGGUUGUAAACCUCUUUCAGCGCAGACGAAGCGAAAGUGACGGUAUGCGCAGAAGAAGCACCGGCCAACUACGUGCCAGCAGCCGCGGUAAUACGUAGGGUGCGAACGUUGUCCGGAAUUAUUGGGCGUACAGGGCUCGUAGGCGGUUUUGUCACGUCAGGAGUGAAAACUCGGGGCUCAACCCCGAGCCUGCUUCUUGAUACGGGCAGACUGGAGGUAUGCAAGGG